rnacentral:rRNA from 1 species
CCCUACGGGGGGCAGCAGUGGGGAAUAUUGGACAAUGGGCGCAAGCCUGAUCCAGCCAUGCCGCGUGUGUGAAGAAGGCCUUAGGGUUGUAAAGCACUUUCAGUGGGGAGGAAGGGUGUUGUGUUAAUAGUACAGCACUUUGACGUUACCCACAGAAGAAGCACCGGCUAACUCCGUGCCAGCAGCCGCGGUAAUACGGAGGGUGCAAGCGUUAAUCGGAAUUACUGGGCGUAAAGCGCACGCAGGCGGCUUUUUAAGUCGGAUGUGAAAGCCCCGGGCUCAACCUGGGAAUUGCAUCUGAUACUGGGAAGCUAGAGUAUGUGAGAGGGGGGUAGAAUUCCAAGUGUAGCGGUGAAAUGCGUAGAGAUUUGGAGGAAUACCAGUGGCGAAGGCGGCCCCCUGGCACAAUACUGACGCUCAGGUGCGAAAGCGUGGGGAGCAAACAGGAUUAGAUACCCCGGUAGUCCA